GACGAACGCUGGCGGCGUGCUUAACACAUGCAAGUCGAACGGAAAGGCCCUGCUUUUGUGGGGUGCUCGAGUGGCGAACGGGUGAGUAACACGUGAGUAACCUGCCCUUGACUUUGGGAUAACUUCAGGAAACUGGGGCUAAUACCGGAUAGGAGCUCCUGCUGCAUGGGGGGGGUUGGAAAGUUUCGGCGGAUGGGGAUGGACGCGCGGCUUAUCAGCUUGUUGGUGGGGUAGUGGCUUACCAAGGCUUUGACGGGUAGCCGGCCUGGGAGGGUGACCGGCCACAUUGGGACUGAGAUACGGCCCAGACUCCUACGGGAGGCAGCAGUGGGGAAUAUUGCACAAUGGGCGGAAGCCUGAUGCAGCAACGCCGCGUGCGGGAUGACGGCCUUCGGGUUGUAAACCGCUUUCGCCUGUGACGAAGCGUGAGUGACGGUAAUGGGUAAAGAAGCACCGGCUAACUACGUG
rnacentral:rRNA from 1 species